GACGAACGCUGGCGGCGUGCUUAACACAUGCAAGUCGAACGACGAAGCCCAGCUUGCUGGGUGGAUUAGUGGCGAACGGGUGAGUAACACGUGGGCAACCUGCCCCAAACUCUGGGAUAACUCCUCGAAAGAGGUGCUAAUACCGGAUACGAACUAGACAGACAUCUGUACUAGUUGGAAAGUUUUUCGGUUUGGGAUGGGCCCGCGGCCUAUCAGCUUGUUGGUGAGGUAAUGGCUCACCAAGGCUACGACGGGUAACCGGCCUGAGAGGGCGACCGGUCACACUGGGACUGAGACACGGCCCAGACUCCUACGGGAGGCAGCAGUGGGGAAUAUUGCGCAAGGGGCGAAAGCCUGACGCAGCGACGCCGCGUGAGGGAUGAAGGUCUUCGGAUCGUAAACCUCUUUCAGUAGGGACGAAGCGAAAGUGACGGUACCUAAAGAAGAAGCACCGGCUAACUACGUGCCAGCCGCCGCCGUAA
rnacentral:rRNA from 1 species